GCAGUUGCCAACGUUUCUAUGGACAUCAGUGGAUGGCAAUUCCUUGGACCGAGAUGGCUUGAAUGCCUGCCUCGAAGGACCUGAUGCCUCGGUGUUGAUCGCAGCCAUUCAGGCUGGGAUUGAGUACGGAAGACACAGGGGGGUACGUAGGCUUUGCUGCAUUAACCUUUUCUUUCUAGCUUUAUAAUCUUUGUUUGUUCAGCUGGACAAGAUGCCAUUGCGCUUAAACGACGAAGAAACAGCGAUGUACAACAGGACGCUGCAGUAUGGCCACGCUUACGCCAAGGCGAUUCGAUGAAGGCUUCUUGACUGGUAAGCUUUCUUUUCUAUUGUCUUGUGUUUUGAUUUCUUUUUAAUCCUCAGAGAACACCAUCCGCGAUAUCCUUCUCGAAUUCUAUUAAAUCUAUUGUUAGGUCAAGAGGAGCAAUGCCGCGAAGAAUGUGAGUAUCUCACCACAUGAUCCCCUCUCGCCAAAAUGUUAAGCUUGGUUUCUUCUGCUUCUUACACCGCCACAAAUCCUUCUCACUGAGAAGAACCACCCAAAGAGACGACGAAAAGAAUGUUUUGCUUGGAGCGCUCAAGUCGUGUAGCUUCUCGGGAGACCUGGAAAGAGGUAAAAAACUCCACUUGGAAGCGAUCGAGAGAGAGCUCCAUACCGACGUCUAUAUCGCAACCUCGCUUGUUCAUAUGUACGCCAAGUGCGGCAGCAUGGCGGAAGCUUGGCAAGUCUUCCAGAGCAUCAGCAAUCCAACGAUCGUCUCCUGGAACGCUUUGAUCCUGGGAUGCGUCGAGAACGAGCAGUGCUCGCUCGCUCUCGAGAUCUUCUCUCAAA
rnacentral:lncRNA from 1 species